UACAGAGGGUGCGAGCGUUGUCCGGAAUCACUGGGCGUAAAGGGCGCGUAGGUGGCGACCCAAGUCGAUGGUGAAAGCUCGCCGCUCAACGGCGAGUCGGCCACCGAUACUGGGUUGCUGGAGCACUGUAGAGGCAGAUGGAAUUCCGGGUGUAGCGGUGGAAUGCGUAGAGAUCCGGAAGAACACCGGUGGCGAAGGCGGUCUGCUGGGCAGUUGCUGACACUGAGGCG
rnacentral:rRNA from 1 species